AAAUCAUCACCCAAAAACAAAUUAGAACCCAAAUAUUUCCAUUUAUCUGAAACAGGUCCAAUACCCAAUUUUGAUAAAAAAAAAAGGAAGGAGAAAAUUCCAUAACCAUCACCAAAUCGAAAUUUUCCUAAAUCGUUCUCCACCUUUUACGCCUCAAUCGAUAAAAUCGGAGAAACAGAAGCCGUUUAUGGAGUUAUUUUCCUCCACUUCUCAGAACUUCAGCGCCUCAAAGACAGAAUCAGCGAUGAAACCUAAAUCCUCCGAAUCUCACCGCUUGACAAGAAUCAGAGAAAUCGAAGCCGUGGAAGCCGUCUACGGCAUUAUUUUCCUCCACCGCUGCUAACUUAACAGCCUCAAACACUGAUCCAGCGAUAUAAGCACAAAUCCUAAGUAUCUAACCGCCUGCACCGAUGAACAUGGACAAGCAGAAGACGCAAACGGAGACAAAAUCCUAUCCAUCACCAGAAAAAGGCCAUAAAAUGACAGGUAUAUUAAACAAAAUUGUAAGCCUCAGUCUAUGCCCUAAACUACAUUGAUGUGUAUUUUUCGAGCUUUUAUAUCAAUGAACUAAUAACACACAAGUAUAUCAAAUAGCUCUAAAAUUACAACCUUUCUACAAGAGUACAGAUGUAGUUGUAGUAAAAGAGUGUCGAACCACAGAGAGACGUAGGUUCUUUAAUUUGAGAUUGAUAAAAUAAAAUUUGAUAAAGAGAUGAUAAAACACACAAAGAUAAACAAAACACAAAAUUUAGAAAAUAGGAUAAGAAGAAAGCAUUGCUCCUAUAUGUCUCGGGCAUAUGAAUUGGGAUACUUCGAUGGAUUACUACGAUCAAGACUAUGCUUAAGAGGAUUAAGUUUGUUUUACGCUCCCUAUCCGUUGAACACUUCAAGGGAACUGUAUACCUAGGAUAAGCUGAACACGUCUCCAAAGUUCUACUCACUAACCUAUCACCACUACUAGGUCGCGUAGUAAGCUUUAGAUUAGUUUCUUCAAUUGUCAAACACGAUAAUUAAAUCAUAUAUUAACUUAAUGCCCACACGGAAGCGCAACAGACACCAAACCAAAUUUACAGAUAAAAACUAUCGAUCCACUCGAGACUAUCUCUCUGAACAAGUAUCAAAUCUCGAGUUCCUUGCAUAUGAGUAAUGACCAAAAUCUAUGCUAAAGAGGCAAUAGAAUAAUGGCUACAAAAUUCUACCUAUGUAGACGUCUCAAGAUUAGUAGAAUAAUUAAACAAUUCAUAAACAAGAAUCACACAUAAAUUAAACCAUAAAAGUCAUCAAAGUAUCCAACAAUUCACCCUACAACAUAUUCAGAGCAACAAAGAAGAUCUAGCCAAACAUACUAAAAUGAAUUACACCAAAAGAACCGUGAACCGUGAACUCCAUGGUGUUCUCCAACUCUAGAUGAUGGAUGAUCUCCGGAGUGAAGGUUUGGAUCUUUCCUUCCUCUUCUCUUUUCUUUCUUCUUUCUCCAAUUUCUUGUCUCUGUUUCUUUUCGCCAAAACGUGCCUUCUCCCUCCUUUGUAUACAAAUUUUGCACUUUAACUGUGGGAAAGGAAACCGCCGCAAGAAACUGCUGAUUUGCAGUUAGAGUUCCUACGCCCGACCGGGCAGAAUGAUAGUAAAAAUCGCCCGACCGGGCGAAAUACUUCUGGACUUUCAAUGCAUUCUGUAACUGACCCGGGCGGGUGUUCAAACGGUGCUGGAUUGACCCGGACGGGUAUAAUACGCUGGAAUCUCCACACUUUGAAGAAGUGUCCUGGGCGGGCAGUGCGAUGGCUGCUGCUGUGCUGAAUUUGGAACUAUUACGCAGUGCACGCCAACUGUUUGGUGAAGUGUUUGAUGGAAUGUUUGAGCUCCAAUAAGUUUCUUACAUCCUAAACUCGAUGAAAACAAUAAUUUGAUGAGUCAUAAUCUACAUAAAAAUGUGUAGCAUUUAGGGGAAAAAUAUAGAAAAUAUGCUUCGCAUCAUACAUUCAUAUUUAAAUUCAUAUAUAUGUUAAACACCUUUACUAAAACAAAUCUGAUACUGGCAGGAAAUCAAAAGGAAGAAGCAUUUACAAAAAUAUAGCAGAUAUAUUACUUACUUGAACUCAAAAGUAUAUAUUGAUACUUAGUGGAAAACUCUUCAAAAUUACAGAUUGUUUUCCAACGUGUUAGUUACCAUCUUACAUUCUGCUUUGUAUGAACUUGGACUCUGUUAUAUAAACUUAAGUAAGUAUAAAACGAGUAUACUUAUUCUUGAAAGCAUCAGCUAUCCACCAAGUGCCUUAAUCGCCUUGAGUGAACCCCUGCGCCCUCUAACAUUUAGUGAUUACGAACUGGAAAAUGCUCUUGUAGGGUUCUCGUGACUGAUAGGGAUAAUCUCUAUCACAUGCAGUUUAUUAAAAAGAUCAUUUAAGUAUACUCAGAUUGAACACGCUUUUGUCUAACAAAUGAAGCUGACAGUGAAAGUACACUAAAAAUUUCUUAAUAUGUAAAGCAUACUCUGUAAACUUAAGAGAAAAGAGAUUAAAAAUAUCUAAACAGUCCUAUAAAAACAUAAAAUAAAACUGGUAUAAUGAACUACUGUAAAAAAAAACUUAAAUAGAAUAUUAAGGAAGAAUAAAACAUAACAUUAAAUCAUAAGUCAUAAGCUUAAAAGCUUAAUAAUAAGCUAAAAAGAUGAUCCCAAAAAAUAAAACUUAAACAUUGUCAUAACUUCAAAACACAAGCCAAAUGUCUUUAUAAGGAUCUACUCUCCACCAUUCACUUUCUGCCUUUUAAGAGCCUCAAAAUUAGUGUCAUCUUCACAUGCAUCAAACUCCAUAUCCAAGCAAUAGAUCAGACAACUUCACCUGAGAACUAACAGGUUCUGAAACAAAACCUUUAGGGAUAUAUUUUUCAACAAUUUCAAGAGUUUUACGGACUUUAUUCACAGUAAAUGGAUAGCUAACUGGAUAAUCAAAAUGAUCAUUCAGUUGGACUUUAAACAGAAAAUUCUGUCCAUAAAGCUUGUCCUCUAUCCUCCUAAGAAUGGAAUCAGUUAAAUGAAUCUGUAAAAAAAAAUUAAAAGAUAUAAAAAAUAUACAAAUUAUAAAAACUAUAGCAUUGUUUCUUAUUAGAUAUACCCAUCUGCAUCAACAAUAUCAUCAACUUUCCUAUCCAAUAGCUGAAAACCCUCUCUAUCCCAAAGCAGAAGUGAAACAUUGCUAGUGUCAUACCUGCUUCUAAACUUCUUAACCUCACUUAUUUCAGCAUUGAUAAAAACUUGGGAGGAAUUAAAAUGUGUAGACACAUGCAUCUCACCUAAAAAAAUAUAGUUAUUGAGAUAAUGAUUAAAAAAACUAAUAGAAAUCAAAACAAAUUAAAAAACUAAUGGAAACACAAAAAUAUCUAAAAACAAACAGAAAAAUAAAUACUAUUAGUUAAACAUAUUACCUUUAAACAUAUUUGGCCGACAAAAUUGAACAAUUAUAAUAGGCAAUGUUCCUUUACUUUUCUCCAACUGUUGAAGAUAAGAAUCAACGUUUGCAUCCCAAAUUGUGCAAAAGAUCCUGUUAUGACUGCAAUAAAAGGGAAAAACAAGAUUAAUAAGAUUAGAAACCUUGAUUAGAUAUUUUCACAUUGUUUUCAAACUUACUUCUCAUCUGCAAUGUCAACCUCAAUAAGUCUACAUUUAGGCUGACAUAGAACUCUCCCAGGUGCAACAAUCACUCCUAUUACAUCUGCAAAACUGAAAAGUAAAUAUCUGGAAAAAUUUAAAGUAACAAAAUACCCAAAAAUAUGCAAACAUAAUACCAAAAAAUGUUUCUUCAGCAGCUCUGUCAAGCCUUGUUAUCUCAUCAAAAUUUUUAAAUGCAAACCUAAAAUACUAGAAUUUAGAAUCUGUGACUUCAAACACUUCAGUUUUGGCAACCAUGGUGAGCCUAAAUUGGUGACUGGUGGUCUUGUUCUUGAGAUUGUUUGGUCUCACAAGAAAAUUCCUAAUGCAAAAUAUCCCUCCUUGGUUUAGCAGCCAUAUUCUGGCAUGAAAACCCUGGAAAUGAUGCUUGAAUCCUGGUGCCCUAUUAAUAAAAAUGACCAUAAUUUAGAGAAUGACAAUAUAUAUGUUAAAAAACUGAAAGUAAUCAAUAGUCUUUUUUUCUUAUAUUUUUUAUCUCCAUUAUAAGUGAUAUCUUUUUUAAUUAUAAUUUCAAUUUCAAAAUGUGAAGAAGUCAGAAAACAUACCACACGAUCAUGGAAGACAACUUCCAAGGUCUUAUCAUUCUUAUCUCUAGAAUUGUUCUCAUAAAGCCGGACACAACGGACCUUGAUGACAGAGGUAGGCACUUUAGGCAGAAGAUUAUUAACCAAGGUAAUUAAAGGUGUCAUUCUUCGGUUGAACUUUCUGCAGUAAAAAGAGAUAUUGAAAAAUUACAGCUUUACUAUUCUAGUCAAUGAAUUCACCAACAUUUAUUUGCAGUUGAUAGGGCUUGUUACGGGCAUGGUUUUAUAGGGGUUUAUUACACUAACAUGGUUGACAAUGUGUGAAAAAGUGGUGAAUCUGAGUGUGCAGGAGCUAUAAAGUGUAGAAGCGGCAAGUGCAAGAACAACUUGAUCAACUCGGAAAAGAAGUGAAAAAAUGGCCAGAAAUGAAGAUAAGUUGAUCAGUUGCGUACAAACAGUGAAGCCUGCCUAGCCGACAAGUUGAUCAAAUGGGCCCAAUGCCAUCCUAUAAAUAUGGAGAGAGUGCACAUAAGAAGAGAGCUCGACACCAUCAUCACCUUCAGUCACUUCAUUUUCAUAUUUUAGCAUGGAGUAAGAAGUGUUAGCAACAAUCGGAGUCGUUGGUUCCACCUCUACUUUCAUCUCUUCUUCCUCGCCAAGGAAGGAGGGACCUGGAUCUGCCUAGAAGUCUUCGUAGUUUGUGUCUUUCUUACACCCCGAGGGGUCAAAACAAUUUCCAUUCUGUUUUUAGUUCAUCUUUUCCAUAGCUUAGUUGCUUUUAAUGUUUUGCUCCUAGUUGUCACUCUAGUUAUAUUUCUGUUGUUGAUCGCUCUUUAAAUCCUUAUUUGAAAUUCUGGUUUAGUUACGUUUAUCGAAGAUUGUUUAUGAAAUGGAGUUUUUAAUGCAAGUUGUUUUGGACCUGA